UUCCAUUGCCAUAAUGCAGAUUUAGAUAAAACUCUCUAACCAAGUCUACAUAUGUAACUUCCUUGAGAGAACAGUAAAAACCCCAACCUUGAUUUUUGAUCUUUGAUCCAAAGGUGAAACCCUCUUUUUCGAAAAACCUGAAGUCCACAUUCUUGCCGGUUUCUACCUUUCUGUCAGAAAGAGGGAUUUUGCCAGGGCUAAGGGGAGAUUGAGAGGGACCUGGAGAAGACACUGAAGCCGGAAUGGAAGCAGUGGAGGUCUGAGCAGCUUGCCUUUUUCUGCGGACACUUUCUUCCAGCUCACGGACUGAUUUUCUUCUUUGAGGGAGUUUCAUCUUUGGGGCCAUUCUUCACCACAAGAGCCGGCAGAGAGACUCGGAAGAUCAAAUGGGUGAGGAGAAGGAGGGUUACUAGAGAGUGGAAAGGGAUUUUGGCUGAGAGGAAAGAUGAUUUAGAGAAGAACGGUGGAAGCUAGGGCACGCUCCAACCGCUUCAAUCAAGGGAGAAAGAUGCGAGAAGCUCCUUUUCCAAGGGGUGAUUUGAGGUGGAGA
rnacentral:lncRNA from 1 species